UCCCUGGAGGACUAGUGGUUAGGCCACAACGUCCUCACUUCUGUGGCCCGGGUUCGAUUCCUGGCCAGGGAA
rnacentral:tRNA from 1 species